AUGUCGUACAACCCUCUGGAUGUGGUGUGCUGGAACGUGCGUGGCCUAAACAGCCCUGUCAAGAAGGCACUUAGGGAGUUUGUUGAUUCUUUGCGUGUGGCCAUUGUUUGUAUCAUGGAGUCUAAACUGGAUUGGGUGGACCAGUACAUUAUAUUGCAAUGUUUAGGCCCAUCGUAUGAUGGUUAUGCGUAUCUCCCGGCUUCUAAGACUAGAGGAGGGAUCUUGGUGGGAUGGGACUCCUGA
rnacentral:rRNA from 1 species